rnacentral:lncRNA from 1 species
UAAAAAUUAAACUCAAUAAUUUUUUAUUUUUUUUUACAAAAAACUCACUAGAUAAAUAAAUAUAAAUAUUUGUAGAUAGAAAUAUGUGUGAAAAUUAUACACAAAUAAAAUUUAAUUAAUUGAACCGAACCGGCGUCCUGUCCGGUCGGAGUUGAGCAGUGUUACGUUAUCUUUUACUGACAGUGACAUGGAAACCAAAUACUCUGUCUGAGAGCAAGAAAUCACCACCACCAUCUUUCACUUUAUCAGCUCUCACAAACACCCUCUUCGGUUUCAAGUUUCAACCGUAUCGCUAUCACCAUCUUUGUAACUUUCCUUUUCCCUUUCUCAGCUACUACUUGGUUCCUUUUGGAUUUCAUCUUUUUUUGCGUUGCUUUUGCGCUUCUUAUUGUUGUUGUUGUUGUUGUUGUUCCUCUUUUUUUUGUUACUAAUUGUUGAGUUCAGACAGCACCUAGAAGUGAUGUCUCUUUCUAUUUUGGUCACUUCAGUUUUGAAAUAUGAAGUUCAUAAAUGAGUAUAUCAAUUGUUUGUUUAAAUGCCUAAAUGACUGCAAUCUCACCCACAUUUAUUUCACUUUUGUUAACAUUGUUAAAAUAUUACACUUUGCAACCUUAUACAGCUUUCUUCCAAAUUUUACUAAAAACUGUAUCCCUUUUGUUAAAUCUAAGGUUUAGGUUAUAACUUAUAAGGAAAAUGCGUUUCUUUUUUUUUUUUUUUUUUUUU